GCCGGGCGUGGUGGCGGGCACCUGUAAUCCCAGCUACUGGGGAGGCUGAGGGAGGGGAAUUGCUAGACCCCGGGAGCUGGAGGUUGCAGUGAGCCAAGAACGUGCCACUGCACUCCAGCCUGGGCGACAGAGAGAGACUCCAUCUCAAUAAAUCAAUCAAUCAAUAAAUAUUAAAAAAAAAAAAAAGACUGGCUGGAUUAUAAAUUUCUUUUUUUUUUUUGAGACAGAGUCUCCUCACUCUGUCGCCAGGCUGGAGUAGAGUGGUGCGAUCUUGGCUCACUGCAACCUCUACCUCCUGGGUUCAAGCGAUUCCCCGCCUCA
rnacentral:SRP_RNA from 1 species